GACGAACGCUGGCGGCGUGCCUAAUACAUGCAAGUCGAACGCUUUUUCUUUCACCGGAGCUUGCUCCACCGAAAGAAAAAGAGUGGCGAACGGGUGAGUAACACGUGGGUAACCUGCCCAUCAGAAGGGGAUAACACUUGGAAACAGGUGCUAAUACCGUAUAACACUAUUUUCCGCAUGGAAGAAAGUUGAAAGGCGCUUUUGCGUCACUGAUGGAUGGACCCGCGGUGCAUUAGCUAGUUGGUGAGGUAACGGCUCACCAAGGCAACGAUGCAUAGCCGACCUGAGAGGGUGAUCGGCCACACUGGGACUGAGACACGGCCCAGACUCCUACGGGAGGCAGCAGUAGGGAAUCUUCGGCAAUGGACGAAAGUCUGACCGAGCAACGCCGCGUGAGUGAAGAAGGUUUUCGGAUCGUAAAACUCUGUUGUUAGAGAAGAACAAGGAUGAGAGUAGAACGUUCAUCCCU
rnacentral:rRNA from 1 species